rnacentral:rRNA from 1 species
GAUCCUGGCUCAGGAUGAACGCUAGCUACAGGCUUAACACAUGCAAGUCGAGGGGCAGCAUGGUCUUAGCUUGCUAAGGCCGAUGGCGACCGGCGCACGGGUGAGUAACACGUAUCCAACCUGCCGUCUACGUCUUGGACAGCCUUCUGAAAGGAAGAUUAAUACAAGAUGGCAAUCGAUGAGUUCACAUGUUCACAUGAUUAAAGGUAUUCCGGUAGACGAUGGGGA